UGAAGAGUCAACUUAUCAUAACCUGCAGUGUGAAAUUCCUCUCCCUUGAGACUGAUGCUUUCCAUUGCUUAACAGGUUUAGAUUGUGUCAUUUAUCCAACGAUCACUAAUUUAAUCAAAGGAAUUUUCUGAGAAGUGACUGUGUCUUACUCUGCAGCACAACUACUACAUUUAUAGCGAUCCAAAAUGGGAAUCAGAAUCAGUCUAUGAUGCAUGUAGGCAAUACUGGAGAACACUAAAAAGAGGUAAAGAAAAAUAAAAAUCUGACCUAAU
rnacentral:lncRNA from 12 species